rnacentral:lncRNA from 1 species
GCCACACAACCUGAGUAUAGUGCCCACACUCUCCACCAACGCAUGAGUUGGAGUUGUAGUCAUAAUAAGGCUUCUCCCCCACCCACAAGUUCACCGCAUCGGUGCCUGUCAAUGAACCGCUGCCUUUGGCCAGGUUCUCACCGUAAGGCCCACCUGAGUGCACUAGAUUGCAGUCGCUAAUCCUCUGGUUAGCAUAGUUCUGGGCGUAGGCAGCUACAGUGUCGUUCCAUGUUAUAGACCCAACGCCAACUUGGGCCCGCGCUGCAUUGUGAGCAUCGACGUAGUCCUGUGGAGAGUUCUGGGCACAGCAGGUGUGAGCUAGGGCUAACCCCAUGAGACCAACAAGGAGCGCCAUUGAAAUCUUACACAACCCCAUCUUUUAGUUUCUUUGAUGACAAGUGAGGGCUGGGUUGAAGGGUAUUUAUAGGGGAAAUAGAAGCAUCAUAAUCUCCAAGUCUUGCUCCCCCUAACUUCCCCCUUUGAUACAGUCUGUGUGGCGGCCUUCACACGUAAAGAUCAACAACUGAUAAAAUAGUUGGCACUAAGAUCAAAAUGACUUCCAUGCAUGUUCAAUUUUUUCCUAAGAAGCAAUCAACAAUACAUGAAAACGACUUCCAUGCAUGUUCUUUCUUUUAUUCAAAAUAAAACAGCUCUUUGAAAUCACAGUUUUGCAGUUCAAAAAAUCGGUUUUUAUUAAUAUUUAUUUUUAAAAAUUUACCCUAAACGCUUCAAUUAGAAAAUGCGAGCUUUAUAAAAUUCAAAAGACAAAAACACCUUAAAAUCCAUAUUUUUCUAAAUGGGAUUUGAGAGUAGUUGUAAAAAUAUAAAAAAAUUUAAAAUUACAUCAGCCCCUAUUUUUAUACAAAUAAGCAAUUUUAAAGUGCUUUUUUUUUUCUUUUCUUUUGUUUGAAAAUGUCAACUUAAUUAGUCUAUUUUAUAUAUAUAAACCUUUGAUCACGGACGAAUUUACACGUGCUUCUUCAAAUUCUGCAAAUACGUACAAAGUAUCCUAACUUAAACCUCUGAUGAAGGACGAGCUUACAUGUGCUUCUUCAACUUCUGCAAAUACAUACAAAUUAUCCUAACCGGUUUGCUUACUUGACUGAACUAAGUGUUUGGUCUUUUAAUGUUAGAUUUCGAGAUUUCGUGGAAAAGUGGUUAAGACAGAGUUUUGGGACGGUCAUCAAAGUUGAAUAAUUUAUCAUGUGACACAUUAUUUGAGCAAACAAGUUGAUAGCGUAUGUGAUUUUUUAUGCUCGUUGUCAACCUCAAAUCCAAAAUAAAUAUAUGACUUUGAAAUGGUAAAAUAUUCAGUAUGAUUUUCUUCUUUACCCUUAUGCUAGGCUAUUAUCGUGGGUUGAUGGCGCGAGGUACUAGGGUCAUUGUAAUUUCCUGAUGUACUCGCCUCCUCAACUGAAAAUGAUGCUUCCUUCCUUCGCCCUACAAAAGAUGUCUGGACAGGGGGUCCGGACACACUCUCUAAAGCCUUUGUUAGUUUGAUAAUCCAGCAAAUUGAUAUUCUUGGGCCCUUUUCUUUUAGGAAUGCUUAACCUUUUUUUUUUUUCGACUGGGUCGUCGGGGGCCUUUUAUAGUGCUUGGAGCCUCGUCACUUCGAAGGUGUGAAGACUCUUUGACUUUUGCGAUCAUGAUGGUAUUCAGAGGGUGACAGAGCCAUCAUUAUCCUGCAGGCGGCUGACAGAGAUCGUUGGGGGGAUGAUUUGUCAUCACCCUUGUCUUUUCACUCUGUAGGCGGUGUAGGGCAGGUCGUGGCAGGUCGCCUGAAGAGACCCAAGAAGGUCCAUCGAGUAUGCUUUUGGCGAAAUGAGUAAUGAUUGCCCACAAAAUACGGCCAGGAAUUUUGUUUGGGACGCCAGCUAUUAGGUCCGGACUGGACAUCCACAUAGGGGGUGGGGAGGCCACAUGUCAGUCCAUGUGAUCGUCCGGACAGGGGGUGAGACAUGCCAGGUGUCCAAUGGAGGAGUGCCUUGUGAGGCCGUCACGUGUACGCUUAGGCAGUCCCUACAGGUAUCACUAGUGGUUUCGACUAAUGGUAGCAAAAGAAGAACAAAGGUACUUGAUAGGAUGCUUAUUCCAACAAGUUAAUAUAUAUAUAUAUUUUAAUCAAAUGAACGUUAUUAGAAACAUUUUCAAAACUUUAAUUUAUUUAUUUUUUUAUUUUUUAUUUUUAAAUUUACAUUUAAACAAUAUUGGAUUCUCUAUGAAAGGGUUUAAAAGUACAUUUGAAAGUGAUUUUGAUAAGUGUUUUUAGUCUUUCUAAUACUUAAAAAAUAAAAAAUUUCAAGUGUUAGAAAAACUAAAAGCACUUUCUAGAAUCAUUGCUAAAUGCACUCUAAAUACAAUUAAAAGUGUUUUUACAAGAAUUACUCCAAAUCACAUUAAUAAAAUUGUGAUGAUUUUUGGUGAAAAUUUAUAUGAUGUUAGAUGUAAUUCUUUUUUCAUCUAAGGUUCUAGAUAUUAUACUGUUUGAUUGGAUAAGAUAUGACAAAAAGAUAUCAUGAUUUCUAAUGAGAUAUGACUUUGGAUAUUUUAUCAAAUGAAAAUGGUAUCUUAAGACAUUAUAUUAAAUAAGAUUUGUUAUGAUCAUAUUUAAUUUAUAAAAUAAAUAAAUGGAAUGUAUAAUAUAUUGCAUUUUAAUGUUCAAUAUUUUUUCUAAAAUAAAAAUUAUAUUGAUUCCUAAUGUUUGUUUUUAAAUAAAUAUGAGAUUGUUGUAAAAUAAAAAAAUGAGAAGAAAAAAAGAGGAUGGAAUAAAUAUGAAUACUCAGAGAAAAAUAGAAUAUUAUUUCAUUAGCAAGUCUCCUCAUUUUAUAGAGAGUUAGGAAGAGAUUUGUAUCAAUAUGGAUAAUCAUCCAUAAGUUGUCACAAUCAGAAAAAUUCUCAUAUUUUAUAACACUCCUCUGUAGAUGAUCAUAAGAAUAAUAUACCUCCUUAAACCUUCCUAGAAAAAAUCUUAUGAGAAAAACCUUUGUAAAGUAAAAAAAGUACAAAAUUCUUUAGAAUUAUUACGAUUGCCUUAUUAAAAACCUUGCCAAGAAAACCUAGUGAGAUAAAAUCUGGAUGAAGGGAAAAAACAUAUAAUGUAGUGAUAUCCUUAUCAAUUUGUUUCCACUCAUGUUGGUAUGAUUAUAUUUUCUCUUGUAACUCAAUAUCGAGAUCUUUGAGUUGGCGUAUUUCAAUGUUAUAUAUGAGUUUCUUGAGUGUUGCAGUUGACAAUGCGUUUGUGAAUAGGUCUACUAAAUUGUCAUUAGAUCUUACUCAUUGAACAAUCAUUUCACCACUCUUCUAGAGCUUAGAAGUGUAAAUGAAUUUGAGUGUUAUAAACUUAGUUCCAUCACCUUGAAUGCAUCAUUCUUUAAUUUGUGCAAUGCAUGCAAUAUUAAUAUCAUGUAACAUUGUUGAAUUGUCUUUAAUGGAAGAUAGUCCGUAUGAUUCUUGAGUAUAUUGGAUUACAAAUCUCAACCACACACUUCUUGACUUUCUUCAUGGAUUGCACGUAUUUCUAAAUGAUUUGAAUAACAACUAUUAUAAGUUUUAUUGAUCACCAUGAUAUUGCAGUAUUACCAUAGGUAAACAAAUAUCCUAUUUGAGACCUUGCCUUGUAAGGCAAUCACCUUGGGGGAUGGGAGGGAUGAAGAGGAUGAUGGUCACUUUUUGAAAAAAAUUAAACUAUAUGAAAGCAAGUGACAAGUAUAUCCAAUUAAAUAAUAAAUACAAUGAAAAGUAAUUGCAUAUAAAGUAAAAAGAUAAGGAAAAGAGAUUGCAAACUUAAGAGUUUUAUAGUGGUUUGGAGUAACUCGACCUAUGUCCGCUCUCCUUAAUGUCAUGGACUUAGUCUUUUUCUAAGCUCGUGCGGCACUUAGACAAGUCAAGACACUUGAUCUUGCUAAGUCAGCCUUACUCCCAAUGCUUAGCUUUCUAGGCUAAGAUGCCUACGACUCGGAAGCUUUAAAAGGUGUAGUAGGCGAUGCUUAAAGAAUGAAAGCUUUUGUUACUCAAAGGAAGCUUUACAAGUGCUUUGGGAACUCACUUGCUUGGUUGGUUAGGUUCUUGGGUGGUGCCUUGGCCAAAUGAGGGCCUCACCUAUUUACAGGCAUCAGUGAAACUCUCUGGAACCUUGGAGGGUUCCUUACAACUUAAGAAUAAUCUAGAACUUCCUACACAAUUCUAUGUACAAACCUAUGUAUAAGAAUAUACAAGAGAUUCCUAGAAUUCUCUAGAAAGCCUUAGACUCCUCUCAUACCUUCCACCAUAGUGUAGAGAUGUGUGGACAUCUCUAGGCGUCUCUAGAACCUUCCAUACUCUUCUCACCAAUGGCUUAGUGUAGAUGGCUCCAGGAGUCUCCAAAAGCUUUCUGUCCUCUAUAUAACCCCUAUGGGGAGGGUCAUUUGAAACAUCUUAUGACACUCCCCCCCACCUAUGCCGUCGACGUCCUCAUUGUUGCCACUUCUUGAAACUUCUCGAUGAGUUUCCAGAACCUUCUAAAGGAAUCCGCAUGUUCCCAGCUUACCUGCCUCUUAGGUAGUCCUUUCCGUAGGACUAGAUACUCUAUCACAAGAGAGACCCCUUGUCUCCUGGUAACCCAUUGAACCAAGAUAUUUUUCACCUCCUUUUCCCGUGAGACCUCGGAUGGAUGCAGACCCUUUCACUUUUGAUGCUUGGAGUGCUGCUUCCUCUUACCCAUCGAAUUCACCUUUCCCUUGUUGACCUUGUCCAUGUGUGUGUGAGCUACCUCAACUCGCUCUCCUUUUGCCUCAUUUACUUGCACCCCUGAUAGUAAGGAGAUCUUAGGUGUACUAGGCUUUGGGUUGACUUAGAGGGCACCUAGUAGCUGCACCAAGCCCAUAUGUGCUUCGUGUUCCUACUCCCUCUCCUCGAUCAUACCAUUGAACGCCUUCUUCUUUGGAUAAUCCCAUGCCCAAUGUGGACCAUCACAUAGGAAGCAUUUGAUUUUAGGUGUAAACUCUUUCCUUUCCUCCUUACCCCUUCCUUCCUGGACGUUAAGUGUCUUGCUUGAUCCCAUUCUAGGAGCAUUGUGGUCCCUUGAAACCUCAUCUCUCCCACCUAUGGCGUGGCUAUCCUCCAAAGACUCAACCUUGAAGGAGUCUCCCCUCUUGUAAUCCGUUAAAGACUCUGCUAUUGCCAUAGCAAUGGCUAAGUCUUGAACGCCUUGGCGCCUUAAUUCCUACUCAGCCCACCCUUGCAGGUUAUCCAUGAAGUUGAAUAGCAACUCCUCCUUAGUCAUGUUAGGAAUCUUAAGCAUGAGCGAAGAGAAUUCCUUGACAUAGUCGCGUAUUGAGCCUGUGUACUUAAGACACCUCAUGUUUUUCCUAGCUAGGUAAGCCACAUCUUCGGGGUAGAACUGCCUCUUGAAGUUCUCCCACGUCUCUAUGGUACAAAUGCCUUUCUCCAUAUUGGCGAACCUCCGACGCCACCAUAGAGUAAUUAUGUGAGUAAGGUAGAGGGUUGCAGUCCUUACCUUAACUGCCUCAUUAGUCAAUGCGAUAGCCUCAAAGUAUCGCUCCAUAUGCCAUAAGAAGUUGUCCAACUCCUUGGCAUCCCGUUUGCCACUAAACCCUUAUGGCUUCGACACCUCCAUCCUAAAUGCCUCUUGUGUGGCCAUCACUCGUGCCAACAUAGCAGCCUUGUAGAUGGCUAACUCCUACCUAACCUCCUGGUCUGGAGACUCAAUUCGAGUGGCCAAGGCCUCUAUCCUUGACUCCAUGCUAGCAAGCAUGCUCAAGACCUUUUCUUGGAAGGACACAAACUCCUCAUGUGACACUGGCUGAACCUAUGAGACUAGCACCCCCUCACGAAGGUCUUGGAUCUGCUCCCUUAAAUCCUCUAAGCCCUUCUCCAUGCCUUGCUCGAUCAAGUCCAACCUCUCCUGAGUGUCUGCCAUGGCUAGCUCUAUCUUAGCUAACCUUACCUCCAUGUUGCCAACAACAUAACGAGAUUUAUCCUUCUUGCCCCUGCCACGUGCAUCAGGUUCGAUCUCCCUCCCAUGGGUUUGCUCACUAGUCUCAUCCAAGUUGGAGCCUGACAUGCUUCAUUUACUAUGCCCGCUUUGUAGCAGCGCUUUGAUAUCACUUGUCACGGACUUAGUCUUUUCCUAAGCUUGUGCAAUACUUAGACAAGUCAAGACACUUGAUCGUGCUAAGUCAACUCUCAAUUCUUAGCUUUCUAGGCUAAGAUGCUCAUGAAUCGAAAGCUUUACAAGUGCUUUGGGAACUCACUUGUUUGGUUGGUUAGGUUCUUGGGUGGUGCCUUGGCCAAAUGAGGGCCUCACCUAUUUAUAGGCACCAAUGGAACUCUCUAAAACCUUGGAGAGUUCCUUACAACUCAAGAAUAAUCUAGAACCUCCUACACAAUUCUAUGUACAAACCUAUGUACAAGAAUAUACAAGAGAUUCCUAGUAUUCUCUAGAAAGCCUUGGACUCUUCUCAUGCCUUCCACCAUAGUGUAGAGAUAUGUGGACAUCUCUAGGCGUUUCUAGAACCUUCCAUACUCUUCUCAUCAAUGGCUUAGUGUAGAUGGCUCCAGGAGUCUCCAGAAGCUUCAUGCCUUCUAUAUAACCCCUAUGGGAAGGGUCAUUUGAAGCAUUUUGUGACAUUAAGUUCCUAAUUGAAUGAGGGUUCCACUAUUUCAAGACUUUCAACACAAGCCUCCAAGCAUUACAAUUGGAUUAUGGUUCCAAUCAACCUUCUUGGAUUUAUGACUCCAAGUACUUUCUUGUAUUAUGGUUCUAAGCACCCAUAACAAUCCUUAAGAGAUACCUUACUUUUAAUAAUCUCUCAAGUGAUACUCCACACUUGAGAUACCUCACACUUAGAUUUUUUUUCUUCUCAAAGGUUUACAAGAAAUGAUAGGAAAUAUUUUCACAAAAUACUGAUAUAAAAUUUAGGUGUAAAUGAUACAAAAUAAACAAAGAUUAGGUGUAUUCAUGGAUAUGCAAGUUUAAAAACAAAGUGUACUCAAUUUAUAAAUCUUACUCACCAAAUCAAAGAAAGAUGGAGCCUUUAAAUAGAGUUUGGAAGCCCAAACUAGCUGUUAGACAAGUUUAGGGGUUGGCUAGUCGAGUAACCGACUUGAUCGAUUCACUAACUAUUAGCAUUUAAUAUUCUAGAAAAUGAUAAUUGGAGUUUAAGCCCUUAAUUGGUUGGGCAACCGGUUCAACUAAACUAGUUUGGCCUCAAUUGGUUGCACCUUAGCUAUUGGAAAUCAAAGGUGCACAAAAUGCCCCUUGAUCAAUUGGGUCCAAUUGGCUCAAUUGUUGCCUUAAACCCUCGAUUGGUUGCACUAGAAUGCUUAAAACUCAUUUUUGAGAUCUAGAACCUCCAAAACCUUUUGUAGAAAUUUAAAAACCUUUUAAAGAUAUUUUAGAAAUCAUUUGGUUCAAGGUUUUGAUUGAAAAUGUGAAAUCAUCCCAUUAUAAAAGAAUUUAAAACAAUUUAUUACUUGGAUGAUUUCAUUUGGUUCAAGGUUUUGAUUGAAAAUGUGAAAUCAUCCCAUUAUAAAAAAAUUUAAAACAAUUUAUUACUUGGAUGAUUUUUGGUGCUUAAGUAAAAGUGAAAUGAAUGAAAAACCUAGCGCACUCAUAACCUUACAAAGAGAUCUUAGACAAUCUUUCUCUUUGAGAUUUUUUUUUCUUAAUUUCCCUUGUAUAUAAUAUAUCUGUAGACCCUCAAUUUUGUCCCUCGACACUGGCAUUUAUCCUUCAAGUGUCACAUCCACCCAUCGUUCGCAUAUGGCACCACUAGGGCCCCUUUUGGGCUUAGUCGGUGUCCGAGACUCGUGUGGGUUUGUCUGUGGUCCAUUGUGGUGCAUAUGUGGUUCAUUUUGGAGGGUCACCACGGCCAUUUUCCUAGUCGUUCACAUCACGCUAUAGGAAGGAAGUGGGGUCAUCCUGAUGUUUUAGCUUAGUUGGAGUUUAUAGGGGCAUGUUGAGGUUCGAAGCACUCGGGCUUGUUUUGAUCGUAUCUCCCUCAUCCAAACUCGGAAUCAAGAACCGUUUCUUUUUAUGGAUUCCUUAUUCUUCCAGGAACAUUCUGUAAAAUUUUCAAAAUUUUUUGCAACCGUUCGGCUGGUUGGCAACCGGUUCAGCCGGUUCGGCCGGUUCAUCAAGUCAGCCGGUGUAGAACACUGAUUUUUGGUAAUUGUUUUGAUCAUAUCUCCCUCUUCCGAACUUGGAAUCAAGCACCAUUUUUUUUAAUGGAUUCCUCACUCUACUAGGAACAUUCUGUCAAAUUUUCAUAUUUUUUUUCCAUCGGGUCGACCAGUUGGCAUCCGGUUCGGCCGGUUCAGCCGGUUCAUUGAGUCAGCUGAGGUAAAACACUAAUUCUAGUAAUUUUGAGGCCCAAAUCCUACAUGGCCUAGGCCCGUAAGCUCCAGAUCGGUUUUGGGCAAUGUUGUGGGUCCAUUUUGGGCCUUGGUUUGGGUUCCUUGCAGCCCACCACGAAUCCAUAUGGAUUCUUGGUGGUGAAGCAAGCUGAAAACUGAAGGAGUGAGCUGGCCUUGUAAGUUUAAGAGAAGUAAUGAGGGGUGUGGUUCCCAUGCUGAUGAAGGGGAUUUUGGUGCUGAAGGGGAUGAAGGGGAUUUUGGUGCUGAAGGGGAAGGAAUCCAGGAGGCUCAAAUGUUAAGAGGGGAUGAGUAUAAAAGGUGCAAUGAUAGGAGAGCAAAGGAGAUGAGGGGACAUUUUGGAGAGGGGAAAUUUUGCUGGUGAGAAAAACAAAAGGUCAGUAGCAUCUUCUGAGUUGAGAGCGUGGGGGAAAGCUUCAGCACUAUGGUUUUUUAAAGAGGAGAGUGACAGCAUCUCAGUUUUGGAAGUCAUCAUCUGCAUACACAGAUCAUAUUUGGUGGAGAUUCUAAGGUAAGCAUGCUGAAUUUUCUUUACUUACAGUUUAUCUUCCUCGUCUUCAUAUACUUUUUCUCCUUCCUCAUCAUCUUUUCUUCCCUUUGAUAUGAAGAUUGUAUUGCUUGGGUGUGGAUAAUAAAGGUCACACAUGAUUGUUGUUGUUUGCUUCCUUAAUCACUUAGGAACUUUCUGACCGAAUUUGGGAUUUUUUACCAACCGACUGAACCGGUUCAACCGGUUCAGCACCAUAGCUGGCAGCCUCUGUCAGCCAUGAAGAACAUUUGUCUUUCUUUGUCUAGUUCUCACUCAUCCGGGCUCGGAAUUGAGAACCGUUUCUUUUGUUUGCUUCCUUAAUCACUUAGGAACUUUCUGACCGAAUUUGGGAUUUUUUACCAACUGGCUGAACCGGUUUGGAACCAGUUCAACCGGUUUGGAACCGGUUCAACCGGUUCAGCACCAUAGCUGGCAGCCUCUGUCAGCCAUGAGGAACACUUGCCUUUCUUUGUCUGGUUCUCACUCAUCCAGGCUCGGAAUUGAGAACCGUUUCUUUUGUUUGCUUCCUUAAUCACUUAGGAACUUUCUGACCGAAUUUGGGAUUUUUUAACAACCGGCUGAACUGGUUUGGAACCGGUUCAACCGGUUCAGCACCAUAGCUAGCAACCUCUGUCAGCCAUGAGGAACACUUGCCUUUCUUUGUCUGGUUCUCACUCAUCCGGGCUCGGAAUUGAGAACCGUUUCUUUUGUUUGCUUCCUUAAUCACUUAGGAACUUUUUGACUGAAUUUGGGAUUUUUUACCAACUGGCUAAACCGGUUCAGCACCAUAGCUGGCAGCCUCUGUCAGCCAUGAGGAACACUUGCCUUUCUUUGUCUGGUUCUCACUCAUCUGGGCUCGGAAUUGAGAAUCGUUUCUUUUGUUUGCUUCCUUAAUCACUUAGGAACUUUCUGACCGAAUUUGGGAUUUUUUAUCAACCGGAUGAACUGGUUGGGAACCAGUUCAAUAGGUUCAGCACCGUAGCUGGCUGCCUCUGUCAGUCAUGAGGAACACCUGCCUUUCUUUGUCUGGUUCUCACUCAUCCGGGCUCAGGAUUGAGUGUCGUUUCUUUUGUUUGAAUCCUCACUCAUUUAGGAGUUUUCUAGAAAAAUUUGGGAAUUCUUCUCAAUAGGUUGUACCAGUUGAGAACUAGUUCAACCUGUUCUGUUGGAGGACUUUAGGAAGCCCUCGAUUUUGGCAUUUUUCGAGCCCUUAUCCAUGGGGGCUCAAACCCUUUUGCUAUAGGGCACUUGUGAGCCAUCUUGAAGGUUUAAGUCAGUGUUUGAUUUCAGUUAGUAUGGGCAAUUUUGAAGUUAUGGGUGGUGUGGUCUAGAUGAGUCUAGUUUGAUUUGUAUGACAUUUGGGGAGUCCCUUACCUCAUUUCAACCAACUAUCUUCCUUUUUUGGCACAAGCUUUGAUGCUUGAUUUUGAAUGCAUGUUGCAUGACUGACUCACCCUCUGCUGCAGCGCUUGGCUAGGGACCACAGGUACGCAUCGUUGGCUUUGGUUGUCGAAUUCAUAUGCAUGCAUGGUGCUUAAUCUUGAAUGUUUGUUAUGUGUUUAUCUGUGUUUGGCUGACCUUUUAUGCAGCGCUUGGCUAGGGACCACAGGUACGCACCCAUUGUUUUGUUUGGUUGAAUUCAUAUGCAUGCCAAAUACCAAUUAGGAUUGUGUGAUUCAUGACAUCUAUUUAGCCUAGGGUUUCAUUUGACCUUUGACCCAUAUGCUCCCACAUACCCAAUUCAUUAGUAAAAACCGAGUUUCGGGCCUAGAGGGGUGCUACCUCGCAUGAGGUACCUUCCCAACGGGUAACCUGAUCCCCGGACCCAGAAUCUAGUUUUCGUAGACCACUUUUUCCAUACUGGGGUCAUUAGGGGUUUUUGUUCUUACUUAAUUUUCCCCAUUUUAAAAACAAAAAUAAAAAGUAAGUGGCGACUCCAAGCAACACCGUUCCUCACCGGGGGCGGGUUUUUCAAAACUGGAAAACACCAACUUUUUCAUUUCUUUCUUUUCUUUUAAAAGCGAGUCGCGUCGGUCCGGUGGAUCGGGUGAGGGUCCACAAUAUCUUUAAUUGCUACUUUGAAAAUCUUUUGACCUAAACACACUUAACAUAAAACAUUAAUUCCAAACCUUAUUUUGUUAUCAUCAAAAUUGAAAUUAACCAAACUUUGGUUUCACACCUAUUUUAAUUUCCUCAUUUAUUAUCCACUUUUUUUUAAAAAAAAAAUAUUUUAAGAAUAUUAUAAUAUAUAUAUAGAUAUAUAAACUUAGGUUUAUUCAUACAAAUUGAUAUAAAAAUAUCAUUUAAAAUCAAUAAACUUUUUAUAUUUAGAUAAAUAUCUAAAAAUAAAAUUUAACUUAAAAAAGAAAUGAUGUAAAAAGAUUGUAAAUAAUCAAAAAUAAAAAAAAGCAGGGCCUUGUAAAACUAUUUUUAAUUGAAAUUUUUUUAAGCAUUUAACUUCCCAUAAAAUGAAAAAUUUUUAGAUCUAAAUUUCUUAGUUUUAAAAAUAUUUAACAUAAUAUUAUAUCCAGUUACCAGAAAAUGGCUAGAAGGAAAAAUAAAUAAAAUAGAAAAAGUCUAACUAUUUUUUUUAUGUUUAAAUAAUAUGGACAAAAAUAAGAAAAAAAAGGUAAAAUAUUAAAAUAUUUUCCUCCUUAUUUUUCUAAGAAAAGCUGAAAUAAGUACAGAAAAAAAUUAUAAUUUUCUUUAAUUUUGCGUUUUUUUCUUCAAACUUUCCACAACCAGCCACAUGGUCUAAGUGAAAGCAUAAAUUAUAAAAAUUUUAUCUGUCUACGCAGUUUAAAAGCUUUGCCAAAUUGGGUCUUGGUAGACUUUAAAAAUACAAAAUAAAUUGAUCAGAUGGUUACAUAUAUAUAUAAGUCUUGAUAGCGCCCUGAUAAUGAGGCUACAACUUAGGAAUUACGUGUCCAAUUGCCAUGCUUGGAAAAAUCAAAAUGAUGGCUUUGUUGGAUGAAUCUAGAUGAAGUUUGGCCUACAUAUAAGGAAGAAUAACAUCAUGGUCGCUGGUGGUAGGCAUCAAUUCCGGGACAACCAUGAGCUUGUGCUGGAAAAUUCAGUAGACCCUCCAUUAGUGUAAUCUCUUAAUUGCCUUAACUUCUCUCCAUUUAAAGGCAAAGACUGGACUCAGUGGUAUGGCAUUGGGAUAGACCCAGAGUUCAGCUCAGUCCUAGGGCCCAAUUAAAGUUCUAGAUUGGGUUGAGUCUUAUAUAAAAGUGACAAUCUCUAUUUGUUAAUCUUUGUGUCAACUUAAUUUAUACUAUUAUUACUCAUGUAACCUAAUUCAUAUUUUAAAUCUAAUCUAUAUCACAAUUUAUUCUAAUAUUUUUGGAUGAUGCACAUCAAUUUGAAAAUUUUUGGUGUGUAUCAUAGCUCUUAAUAGCUCAAAUUUAUGUUACAUCCCUAUUCAAGACUUUCUCACAAUUUUCAAGUUUUGUAGUGCUUUUAUUAAAAGUGUGAUGAGCUUAGUGAGCGCAAGUAGGGGUUAUAAGGGUCAUUUUGAGCAUUUUUAGUAACUUCUAUGAAUUUUGGAAGGACAGGGGAGCCCAAAAGCAAGAGUAAAUUAGCAAGCUAAGCAAAACACAAUUAGCAUCUCCACAAGCUCGAUUCCAACUAGUUUUGAGUUUGGAGUUAUUUGAAAGGGUUAUAUGCAUCUUAAUAGAGUGGUAAAUUUUAUCAAGUUCUAGACUCUAAUAGGGAAGAAAAGGGGAGUUAGAGAUUUUAUUUUUAAAACAAAGAAAAUACCAUUGCAAGAUAGUAGCAUAAACUUCAACUUAAAUAUAAAAAACAGAACAAAAAAUAGCUAAUCUAAUAUUUGCUUUUUAAUUACAUCAAUUUACUAACUUUCCUAUAAGUGAGCCAACUUUAUUAUUAUUAGAUCAUCUAGUGAAAUAUCUCUCUUUUAUUUUGAUAACUUAGUUUUAGAUCAAGUUUUGAUAAUCUCAUCUAAAAAUUAAUUGGUAUCUUGAGGUUGGACUAAGUCUUUUAUAACAUUCAACCACCAUCAUCUGGGUGACCCAUCCAUUGAGCUUAAAGAGUGAAGUUGUUACACCCCAACAAUCUCUCCACUAACAUGAUGCUUCCCCGGCUUUAACUCAAGACAUUGACUUUGAUACCAAUUCGUGGAUCAAACUUUGAUCAUCUUAUUUGAAGACCAAUUGAUUUUUAGAUGAGAUGAUUAAAACUUAAUUCAAGACUUAGAAAGGUAUUUAUCAGUUCCUUCCCCUUAAAAAAACCUUGUCCUCAAGGUUGGAAGUAAGGAAAAUGACUAAUAAGCUUAUGCCAAUCUCCCUAGCUAGCAUCUUUUAGGGAAGAAUUAAAAUAAUGAACAAGAAUUGGAUCUUUGAAUUGUUCCCAUGUUUGAUAGCAUGUUGAUCAAGAAUUCUGAUUAGUUCAAACAACAUCUGUCCUUUAUCAUUAAUGGCUGGUAGCUCAAGUUUUGCAGUGUUUUUUCUAGCCAAUGGAUCUUUUUCUUUAAACCAGAUAGUGAAUUUUUGAAUGGGAAAGCAAUUCCAAAUAAUAAGCAACUACUCCUAUAUGGAAAUUCACCCUAAAAGGCCUAUAAAACCUUAGAGACAGCUAAUUGAUGCAUGGAAAGGCCACAUAGGCUUAUUAGUCUGGUUAUAGGUACAAUUACACCAUACCUCUCACAUCAAAAGACCUUUCUAUAUGAUGUUGAUUAGCUUGCUGAUUCAUAUGGCGUUGAGCCUUCUCCAAAUUUUCUUUCAAUAGUAGUAAGAUGGCAUGCAUUUCGAUCCGUAAGCGCUUGGCCUAUUGAUACUGCCUUGGUGUCACCUCGUGCAUACAUGGGCAGAGAUGACGAACUCUGACCAUAAUCCAUUUUAUGUAGAAUGAGCCUGAUGGCAGUGUGGAAGGAAGUAUUGAACCACCAUUCAACAAAUGGUAACUAAGGAGACCACUUUUUAGGAUGAUUGCCCAUGACACAAUAAAGAGAAUUUUUCAAACAAUGAUAAAGGCUCUUUUUAGGAAUUGUUUUUUAAAACACUUUUUGGUUCUUCAGAAAAAAAAAAAAAAAAAUUGAAAACAAUAUUUGACAACUGGAAAAUAGAAUUUUUUUUUUGGGACUAUUUUAACUUGUUUUAAAAAAUAAUUAUAUAAUAAAUACAUAAAAUUUAUUUUUAAAACAUAUUUAAAAAAAAUAGAAAACAUAUAUGUUAAGAAUAUUUCAUAUUCCAAAUUGACUUUUGUUAUACAACUUAAUGAAUUAAUAUGAUUUAAUGAUUUAAUUUAAGCCAUUGAGUAAAUUAAAUAUCUUUGGUAAAAUAAUUUAAUAUUACAAUUUAAAAUUACUUUUAACAUUAAAUAUUAAAUCAAAAAAAUUAACUCAUUUUUAAUUUUAAAUCUUUUUUGUUUUAUUUAACCCUAAAGUAUAUUUUAACAUUAUGAUUUUACAUCUAUGAUUCUUUUUUAAAAUAAAUAUUUUAUGGUUAUCAUACCCAUCUACAAUAUUUUAAAUAUGAAUAUUGUCUAAAUAAAAAUUACUUAAAAUUAUUGAAAAUAAAUAUGAGUUGAAAUCAAGGAAGAUAAAUAUUCAUUAAAAUUAAUAAGGGUAAAUAUGUUAAUUUGAUAAUUUAAAAUAAACUUUAAGUUAACUUUAUCAAAUACCUUAAGUAAAAUAAGUAAUAAAUUUUAAGUCAAUCACUUAAAAAUAAUUUAAUUUAAAGUUAACUUAAGUAAUUAAGUAAUAAAUAUCAAAUUUUAUCAAACACUUGAAACUCUAUAUCUUAUGAAAAAUUGUUUUUUUAGAACUACUUUUAAAAACGCUUUCUAAACAAAGCAUAAUCCUUAGUUUUUCCAUGAGAUUGUAGAUGAUAUGAUGAACUCAUAUAAAGUUGAGUGCUGCUCAAAGAGAGCUUGCCAGAAUAUGCUAGUAUAUAUGGGAUCUCUGUUGCUAACAAUGGUAGUGGGCAUGUCCAACAAGUGAACAACAUGUUGGAUAAAAAUCUUAGUAACUUCCUUGGCUGAAUAUCGAUGUCUUAAAGCAAUAAAGUAAUGGUAUUUUCUUAAUAUAUCCUUCAUGAGGAAAAUGGCAUCUUUCCCAUGUGAGCGAGGAAGUCAUCCAUUGAUAAAAUUCAUGGUUGUCAUGUAAUAUUGCAGCCUAGAGAGAAAAAUGUACAACUCAAGACCAGGGAACCCUUGUACUGUAGUUGAUUUUGCAAUAUCGCCAAGAAUACCCCCAUUUGGCAUUUGGCAUUUGGGUCAACAAUAUUAAGUCUUUGUAUUAGUUAUUGUAGUUAAGGGUCUUGCUGCUAUUUUUCCUUGGAAGUAUAUCAAGCCAAUUAAUAGUAGACAAGGAUAGGGUCAUGACUUUCAAUAUUGAACAUACUCUAUAACGGACAAAGCCAGAGAGAAAUAAGAGAAUUGUAUGAGGGUUUAAAUGUUUAUUAAAGAUAUUUGGUGGUAGAAAUUAUCCUUUUAUUCUCACAAUCACUUGAAGUUGGAGCAUGUGACACGGCAUGGAUCGAUGUGUUAGGCAUGGCCCCCACGUGCCUUCGAUGGGAGAUAUCCCUUCCAUACCUUCUCAGGUUAUAAAUGAGGAAAAAUGUCUCUUCCCAUAUGCUUUUCUGUAUCUCAAAUAUAUCAAUUCUAGAAGGAUUGAAACUCAACCAAGCCUUUCAAAUAGGUGAUCAUCCAAUGAACCAGAUUUAAGGCCAUUAGUCCACCCAGUACUUGUUCCUGCAAUGAUAUCCCACAAUGAUGUCUUCAAAGUUGGCCAUAUCCCACUACUUGAUCUAGACUCUCAGAUUUAUUGUGCUGUGAUAUUAGAUCAUAGGGGAGCUAGCUAAUCAAAUUUGAAUCCUUUUCCAUAUCCUAAUUUUUUUGUCAAUUCCUUUGUAUUGACUUUUAAUUAAUAGGGUUAAUUUAUAGUCCCGAUUUCCUUGAACAAUGAAUGUUAAUGAAAAUUAUUACCUACAUAUACAACAAAUAAUCAUAUUUCUUAUAAUACUACUAUGUCCCUUUUUUCAUAAGAUCAGCAGGAUAACCCUGGAAAUUAAGACAAAGAAAACAAGGAGCCGACAUGCUUUGAAGUACUACUAUGAAUUUAUUAUACUUGGAAAUUAAGCAUCUCUCUUGAGUAUUUUUGAGUACAGAAGGAGAAUAAAACAAGAUCUUACUGAAAAACUACCUCAAUUAUAUCUUCCUUGGUCAGCUAAAAGCACAAAGUUGAUCUUAUUUGCACUGACCCAUGGUAUAUAUGCUGAUCAGCUUAUUACAUAUAUGUAGUACUUGCUUAGAGGUCGUUUCAUAAUGUUUAAUAAGGCCGUUGUCCCACAUAGUUGCCCGGUGGAUCGUAGUUGCAUGUGACGAACCACCACCCAUUGUUGCACUGAACCCUGGCGCACCCAAGGCGAACUGAGUUGCUCCAAACAACCUGAGUAUAGUGCAGGCACUCCCCACCAACGCAUGAGUUGGAGUUGUAGUCAUAAUUAGGCUUCUCCCCCACCCACAAGUUCACCGCAUCGGUGCCUGUCAAUGAACCACUGCCCUUGGCCAGGUUCUCACCAUAAGGCCCACCUGAGUGCACUAGAUUGCAGUCGCUAAUCCUCUUGUUAGCAUAGUUCUGGGCGUAGGCAGCUACAGUGUCGUUCCAUGUCAUAGACCCAACGCCAACUUGUGCCCGUGCUGCAUUGUGAGCAUUGACGUAGUCCUGUGGAGAGUUCUGGGCACAACAGACGUGAGCUAGGGCUAAUCCCAUGAGACCAACAAGAAGUGGCAAUGAAAUCUUACACAACCCCAUCCUUUUUAGUUUCUUUGAUGAGAAGUGAGGUUAUUGAUGAGAAAUGAGGCUUGGUUUGAAGGGUAUUUAUAGGGGAGACAGAAGCAUCAUAAUCUCUAAGUCAUGCCCUCCCAAACUUCCCCCUUGGACACAGUCUUUGUGGUCGCCUUCACACGUAAAGAUCAACGACUGAAAAAAUAGUUAGCACUAAGAUCAAAAUGACUUCCAUGCAUGUUCAAUUUUUUCUUAAGGAGUAAUCAACAAUAUUGAAAAUUCUUUGUGUUUUGGAUAUCUUCUAGGGUUUACCCCUGGCGGCCAGACCAGUUUGAUCAAGACUCGUGAACUUCCUUCUAAAAGAACAUGUAUAAAGAAUUAAAAGGGAAAAACAAGUGUUGAUGUUAAAUCAAAAUUAUUUUAACAAUCUUAGAUGCUGAAAUUCUUGACAUUGAUCAGCUAGUAUUUUUUUUUUUUUGAUUCAAAAUAAAACAGCACAAUGGAAUCACAUUUUUUCAGUUCAAAAAAUGGGUAUUUAAAUAUAAUUUAAAAUCAAUAAACUUUUUAUAUCCAGAUAAAUAUCUAAAAAUAAAAAUUUAACUUAAAAAGUAAAUGAUGUUAAAAAGAUUGUAAAUAGAUACAAAUAAAAACUAGUAGGGCCUUGUAAAACUAUUUUUAAUUGAAUUUCUUUUAAGCAUUUUAACUUCCCAUAAUAUGAAAAACUUCUAGAUCCAAAUUUCUCAGUAUUAAAAAUAUUUAACAUGUGAUAUUAUAUUUGGUUCCUAGGAAAUGCAAGAAGGAAAAAAACAAAAAGUCUAAUUAUUUUUUUAUUUUUAAAUAAUGUGGACAAAAAUAAGCAAAAUACAAAAUAAGUUGAUCAAAUGGUUAUAGAUAUAGAAGUCUUGAGAGCGCCCUGAUAAUGAGGCUACAACUUAGGAAUUACGUUUCCAAUUGCCAUGCUUGGAAAAGUCAAAUGAUGGCUUUGUUGGAUGAAUCUAGAUGAAGUUUGGCCUACAUAUAAGGAAGAAUGACAUCAUGGUCACUGGUUGUAGGCGUCAAUUCCGGGACAGCCAUGAGCUUGUGAUGGAAAAUUCACCAGACCCUCCGUUAGUGUAAUCUCUUAACUACCUCAACUUACUCAACCGCUCUCCAUAUAAAGGCAAAGACUGGAGUCAGUAGUAAGGGAUUGGGGUAGACCCAGAGUUCAGCUCAGUCUAGGGCCCAUUUAAAGUUCUGGAUUGGGUUGAGUCUUACAUAAAAGCGGAUAAGCUCUAUUUGUUAAUCUGUGUCAACUUAAUUUAUACUAUUGUUACUCAUUUAACCUAAUUCAUAUCUUAAAUCUAAUCUAAAUUACAAUUUAUUCUAAUAUUUUUGGAUGAUGCACAUCAAAAAAUGUUUCAUACUGUAUAUAUUUUCUAUCAUUUGAAAAUUUUUGGAGUGUAUCAUAGCCCCUAAUAGCUCAAAUUUAUGUUACAUUCCUAUUCAAGACUUUCUCACAAUUUUCAUGUCUGUAGUGUUUAUUAAAAGUAUGAUGAGCUUUGUGAGCACAAGUACAGGUUAUAAGGGUCAUUUUGAGCAAUUUUAGUAACCUCUAUGGGUUUUGGAAGGAGAGGGGAGGCCAAAAGUAAGAGUAAAUAUGCAAGAUAAGUAAAACUCAAUUAGCAUCUCCACAAGCUCGAUUCUAACUAGUUUUGAGUUUGGAGUUGUUUGAAAGGGUUAUAUGCAUCCAAAUAGAGUAAGGUAAAUUUUAUCAAGUUCUAGACUCUAAUAGGGAAGAAAAGGGGGGUUAGGAGAUUUUAUUUUUGAAACAAAGAAAAUACCAUUGCAAGAUAACAACAUAAAGUUCCACUUAAAUAUGAAAAAGGGAAUAAAAAAUAGCUAAUCUACUAUUGCUUUGUAAUUACAUCAAUUUGCUGACACUUCCUAUAAGUGAGCCAACUAUAUUAUUAUUGGAUCAUCUCCUGAAAUUUCUCUCUUUUAUUUUGAUAACUAAGUCUUAGAUCAAGUUUUGACCAUCUCAUUUAAAAAUUAAUUGGUUCUAAGUUUUUUAUGACAUCAUUGUUAUUUGGGUAACCCAUUCAUUAGAAAGUGAUAUGAUUAGACCCCAAAAAUCCCUCCACCAAUAGAAGGCUUUCAUGGCUCUAAUCCAUGACAUUGACUUUGAUAUCAAUUUUAGAUUGAACUUUGAUCAUUUCAUCUUAAAACCAAUUGAUUUUUAGAUGAGAUAAUCAAAACUCGAUUUAAAACUUAGGAAAUUACUUAACCGUUCAUUCUUCUUGAAAAAGCCUUAUUCUCAAGGUUUGAAGUGAGUAAAACAACUAAUAAGCCUAUGCUAAUCUUCCUAUCUAGCAACUUUUGGGAAAUAAUUAAAAUAAUGACAAAAUGCCACAGCCUUAUUAUUAGGGCUACAAGUGCCGUUACCCCAUAUCUGCCACAUCAAAAGACCUUUCCAUAUGAUGUUGAUUAGCUUGCCUACUUAUAUGGUGUUGAGUCUUCUCUAAAUUUUCUUUCAAUAGAAGUAAGAUGGCAUGCAUUUCAAUCAUCAAGCGCUUGCCCUAUUGAUAUCACCUUGGUGUCACCUCCCCCAUACAUAGGCAAAGAAGAUGAACUCUGACGAUAAUCUAUUUUAUAUAGAAUGAGCUCGAUGGCAGUGUGGAAGGAAGUUUUGAAGUUUUUAGGAUGAUUGCCCAUUACACAAUAAAGAGAAUUUUUUAAACAAUGAUUAAGGCUGUAUUUGGAAAUUGUUUUUUAAAACACUUUUUAGGUAUUCAAAAUAAAAAAAAAUAGAAAAACAUAUUUUACAAUGGGAAAGUAGAAAAUAUUUUUUAAUUAUUUUUACAUAUUUUUUAAUGAUUAUUUUAAAAAUAACAUGAAAAGUGAGUUUUAACUUACUAAUUUAAAACCCCAAAUUUUAUAAAUUAUAUUUAGUUUUUAUUCAUUUAAAAAUAUUUUAAAAUACAUACAUUUUUCCAUUUGUCAAAUAAUUAGUUUCUAAAAUGACCCUUUUAUUUAUUAGGUUAAUAAUACCAAUUGAUGAAUUUUUUUUUUUACAAGAAUUGUUCUGACCUCAAUAAAAUAAAAAAUUUUAAAAUUUAAAAUUAAAACUAAAAAAACUUUAAAACUAAAGACAUAAAAUAAAAUAUUAACUUUCAUUUUGAAUUGUGACAAGUAUGCUUGAUACGAGAUAAGUCUUGUGGACAACAGAAUGACCUCCAAUGGGGCUAUCAUGGUUGUCAUGUAAUAUUUCAGCCUUGUACUGUAGUUGAUUAUGCAUUAGCCAAUAUACCCCCUUUUGGCAUUUGGGUCAACAAUAUUAAGUUUUUGUAUUAGUCGUUGUUGUUAAGGGUCUUGCUGCCAUUUUUCCUUGGAGGUAUCGAGCCAAUUAAUAAUAGACAAGGAUAGGGUCUUGACUUUCUAUAAUAAACAUAUUCUAUGACGGACAAAGAGAGAGAGAAAUAAGAGAAUUGUAUGGGUGACUUUCUAUUAUAAAUCUUUAUUAAAGAUAUUUGGUGGUAGAAGAAAGUUUUAAGUAAUUUUUUUAAUAAUUAGUCUUUUAUUCUCACGAUCACCUGAAGUUGGAGAAUGUGACACGGCAUGAAUCAAUGUGUUAGGCAUGACUUCCACGUGCCUUGGAUGGGAGAUAUCCCUUCCAUAAGGAAAAAUAUCUCUUCCCAUAUGCAUUUUGGUGUCUCAAGUACAUCGAGUCUAGGAGGAUUGAGGGAAACUCAACCAAGCCUUUCAUUUGGGUGACCAUCCACUGAACCAGAUUUAGGCGCAUUAGUCCACCCACUACUUGUUCCUGCAAUGAUAUCCCCCAAUGACGUGUCAAAGUUGGCCAUGUCCCACUACUUGAUCUAGACGCUCAGCUUUGUUGUGCUGUGAUAUUAGAUCAUAGAGGAACUAGCUAAUCAAAUUUGAAUCCUUUUCCAUAUAUAUAUAUAUAUAUAUAUAUCCUAAAUUCUUUGUCAGUUCCUUGUAUUAACUUUAAUUAAUAGGGUUUAUAGUCCCAAUUUCCUUGAAAUUUCUUAUAAUACUACUGUGUCCUUUUUUCAUAAGAUCAGCAGGAUAACCCUGGAAAUUAAGACAAAGAAAAAAGAGAAGCCAACAUGCUUUGAAGUAUAACUAUGAAUUUAUUGUACUUGGAAAUUAAGCAUCUCUCUUGAGUACAGGAGGAGAAUAAAGCAAGAUCUUACUGAAAAGCCACCUUAAUUAUGUCUUCCUUAGUCAACUAAACGCACAAAGUUUUAUUUGUACUGACCUAUGGUAUAUAUCCUGAUCAGUAUAUUACAUAAAUGUAGUACUUUGCUUAGAGGUAGUUCCAAGAAGUUUAAUAAGGAUGUUGUCCCUGAUAGUUGCCCGGUGGAUCGUAGUUGCAUGUGACGAACCACCCUCCACUGUUGCAUUGAACCCUAGCGCACCCAAGACGCACUGAGUUGCUCCAAACAACCUGAGUAUAGUGUCGGCAUUCCCCACCCACGCAUGAGUUGGAGUUGUAGUCAUAAUAAGGCUUCUCGGCCACCCACAUGUUCACUGCAUCGGUGCCUGUCAAUGAAGGGCUGCCCCAGGCAAGGUUCUCACCGUAAGGCCCACCUGAAUGCACUAGAUUGCAGUCGCCAAUCCUCUGGUUAGCAUAGUUCUGGGCGUAGGUAGCCACAGUGUCGUCCCAUGUCAUAGACCCAACACCAACUUGUGCCCGCGCUGUAUUGUGAGCAUUGACGUAGUCCUGUGGAGAGUUCUGGGCAUAGCAGGUGUGAGCUAGAGCUAACCCCAUGAGACCAACAAGGAGUGGCAAUGAAAUCUUACACAACCCCAUCUUUUUUAGUUUCUAUGAUGAGAAGUGAG